GCGCUACACUGAUGCAUUCAACAAGCCUAUCCCUAGCCGAAAGGCUCGGGUAAUCUUUGAAACUGCAUCGUGAUGGGGAUAGAUUAUUGCAAUUAUUAGUCUUCAACGAGGAAUGCCUAGUAAGCGCAAUUCAUCAGAUUGCGUUGAUUACGUCCCUGCCCUUUGUACACACCGCCCGUCGCUCCUACCGAUUGGGUGUGCUGGUGAAGUGUUCGGAUUGGCAAUUGAAGGUGGCAACACCAUUGAUUGCCGAGAAGUUCAUUAAACCCUCCCACCUAGAGGAAGGAGAAGUCGUAACAAGGUUUCCGUAGGUGAACCUGCGGAAGGAUCAUUGAAUAUGCAAACCACAACACGCACUCUUUUAUCUGUGUACCGACGUUAGGUCAAACCCUCACCGGUUUGGCCUACUUACCUACACACACACCAUUGACCAACCACUGAUCAAACCAAACUCUUAAGUUUCGGCUGCUGUUAAUCGGCAGUUUUAACGAAAACAACUCUCAACAACGGAUAUCUUGGCUCUCGCAACGAUGAAGAACGCAGCGAAAUGCGAUACGUAGUGUGAAUUGCAGAAUUCCGUGAACCAUCGAAUCUUUGAACGCAUAUUGCGCUCGACUCCUCGGAGAAGAGCAUGUCUGCCUCAGCGUCGGUUUACACCCUCACCCCUCUCCCUCUUCGGAGGGAGCAUGUCGUGCUUGCUAAAGCCGGCAUCAGGGGUGGAUCUGGCCCUCCCAAUCGGACUCACAUCUGGUUGGGUUGGCUGAAGCACAGAGGCUUAAACUGGGACCCGAUUCGGGCUCAACUGGAUAGGUAGCAACACCCUUGUGGUGCCUACACGAAGUUGUGUCUGAGGACCUGGUUAGGAGCCAAGCAGGAAACGUGCCUUUGGCACGUAUCUCUGUAUUCGACCUGAGCUCAGGCAAGGCUACCCGCUGAACUUAAGCAUAUCACUAAGCGGAGGAAAAGAAACUAACAAGGAUGCGCUUAGUAACGGCGAGCGAACCGCGCAAAGCCCAACUUGAAAAUCUCCCUCGGAGAAUUGUAGUCUAUAGAAGUACCCUCUGCAACUGGCCGAGCUAAAGUCUCCUGGAAAGGGGCGUCAGAGAGGGUGAGAACCCCGUAAGCUCGUGCUUAGUUGCCUCACGAGGUGCUUUCGAAGAGUCGGGUUGCUUGGGAAUGCAGCCCAAAUU
rnacentral:rRNA from 1 species